GCUCCGAUUGGCGACAUUGACAAGUGUGUUUGUUUGUAAAAUACGAAUUUUUGAUUCUAUGUUUUUUGAUAUCAGUUUUGAAAAUUAUUCAUUAUCUACUUCUUAAGAUGAUGUGCAAAAUUGGUUGUCGCAUUUAUUUGAGUGGUCCGCUUCAAGUGAAUUGCCCCACCUGUGCCACCGGAUUUUUCUGUGUGUUGUCCUUUGAAGUGCGUGAAAAGUGUAGAAGCGUCAAGUUCAUCCAUCGUUAUGGCGUACUCUUUGCAGGUUGGGUAUAUGUGUAUUUGCCCAAACACUUCCUGGCCAGGUACCCACUGAUGUAGUAAACGACGUUUUUCUUUGGAAGAUCGUUUCCCCGAAAAUCUGUGUUUGUGACCUAUAAUUUAUACUUUUGGUUUACUUUCAUGAAAACCAUUGUGGUACAAAUAUAUAUUCGUAUGACAGAAAAAAAAGGACAAUAAUACAUUGUAUAUAGAAGAAAUCACAAAACUUUUAUGGUAAUAACCAAGUUUUAGCUUCUGGCGACAGUUGUGGUACAAAUGACUAACCUGUUACCAUGACAAUUUAUAUAAAAGUUAAUUUGCACCACAAUGGUUUUUAUGAAAGUGAACCGACUGUACAUUUAUUAAGUAUGCUGCAUCAUUUAUUUUUAACUCAAACACUCGUAAAUCUGGAAAAACCUGUAGAUUGGAAUAACUUGUGUGAUUUUUAUUUUCGGCCGAGAAAUAAUAGCCCAAUAAAAUUUCAUAAAACCUA